UUUCCACUCUCCGUUCUAAAGUCCAGUGGUGGAGGGCUAGUGGGAAGUAAGAAAGGGCCCCACCCCAGCUAAAGGGAGGAAACCAAUCCCAAGGUACAAACAGCGCAUUCCUGCGGGGGAGAUGGUUGUGCGCCAUUGGAUCGGAACACAGCCCUGAAGUUGGAAGGUCAGAAAGCGAUAGAAGGCAGGAUUGAAGGUGUGACCACCUUCAGAUGAAGACAAAAUACUGGAUGAUGUUCACGACAACCAGACAUACCGAAACCUCCUACUGGGUUAGCAAUAACUGAGGCUUGUUUGCUCAGGGAUGGUUUUGUCUACAGUAUAUUUGGGACUAAUACCUUAAGGGGGUAAAGUUCAGGAUGGAUGUACUAAGAUUUGGCUGAUGCCUGUGCUCAAUGUAAGUCGCGUUUGUUUAACUUUUUACUGCAACGCAAGGGUAGUUGUCGUGUAUUUCCUAGCCUUAAAUGUCCUGCCAAGUGUACCUUCCGGAAAAACAAACACACAAAACACUGGGGUGAGAUUCAACAACAUGAUGGGGCGGAAAACAAAUUGUCAGCAAUCAAGUCACACGAUAACCUGAUCCUGACUCACUUCAAUGUGGAUUCCAAAGAAGAUGAAAUUGCUUCAUAUUUGUUUUCCAGUAAAAGCCUGACA